rnacentral:rRNA from 1 species
UACGAAGGGGGCUAGCGUUGCUCGGAAUCACUGGGCGUAAAGGGUGCGUAGGCGGCGUGUCAAGUCAGGCGUGAAAGCCCCGGGCUCAACCUGGGAACCGCGCUUGAGACUGGCAUGCUCGAGUUCGGGAGAGGAUGGUGGAAUUCCCAGUGUAGAGGUGAAAUUCGUAGAUAUUGGGAAGAACACCGAUGGCGAAGGCAGCCAUCUGGACCGACACUGACGCUGAGGCGCGAAAGCGUGGGGAGCAAACAGG